rnacentral:misc_RNA from 1 species
AUAAUUCCCAAAAAUUUUAAGCUACUGACUGGUUCUCCAAGAUUUUAACCUUCAGGAAUCUCAUCUUUUGAACAAACAACACAGACCCACCACCUAUAUCUCCUUUAACAUAAAGGAAAGUAAGAAACCCUUUUCUCACAUCCACCUUCUGCUUUCUUUUUCUUUCUUUUUAAUUAAUCAUUUUGUAUUUUUAUUUUAUUUUUUUUGGUGGUAUGAUUACUUCACUCAAUCUGUCUUGUUUUUAAAAGGGGGUUCUUGGUUGGUGAGCUAAAAUCCAGCUGCCAUGUAUUGACUUGCCUUAGAUCAUGGGGUGCUCGUUGUUGUUUCCCGGGUUACUCUCUUUUUUCUUAUUCUUGGAUUCUCUGUUUCUCUUAAAAACCACACUCAAUGUGAAUACCUGUGAAGAAUGCCAUUUUCUUUCCCUUUAAUUUCAUUUCUGCUGAAAUAUAUAAGAGUGAGGCGGUUCAGUUCUUUGGGUGCUAUGAAGUGCUUUUACUUCUUGCAUAAAGAGAAAAAUGAAGAACCAAAGACCAGAAAAUGUGUUUCUACCCGUUCUACUUCCACUUCCAUGUCAAUGUCAAUUGAUCGUGAAGUGAAAAGAUCUGGGUCAGAGUGCGAUUCUCACAAUGUUUCAGAUUUUAGCUCAGAGUCCUCUGCAAAGAACUCAUUUGCUAUUUUGUCUCAAAGACAAAGUAAUCGUAGAGUCUUCACAUUCUCAGAGUUGAAGACAGCCACAAAGAAUUUCAACCGCUCUCUCAUGAUUGGAGAAGGUGGAUUUGGUAGUGUGUAUAGGGGAGUUAUUCGGAGCACUGAAGAUUCCAAUAAGAAAAUAGAUAUUGCUGUUAAACAACUGAGCAGGAGAGGGCUACAGGCAAGCAUUCUACAUUUUCUUCACCUUUGUGUGCAUACUAUUUAAUCUUGCAUUAUGCAUCAUUUAUUGUUUCAGAAGCAUUCUGAACAUUAUUGGAAAGGGAAUUCACUAACUCUUAUUUCUCUUAAACUCUAGAUCAUUCCUUUUUUUUGGAUUUAUUUGCAGAUAUUAAUUUUGUUUCUAUUAGUUGGCAAUAUUUACUUUUAUUGGUAUUUUAGUUCUCUCUUUGAAUAUGCUAACAGUGGGUAAAUUGGAUACUUACAGGUCUUGAUCUGAAAUUAUAUGAUAGAAUGCUUGUAAUGUUCUUAGACUUGUGCUGUUUUCUUUUAGUCUGUUGGAACAUGUAAGAAAAGUUCAGGGAAUGCACAGCUUACAUACAAUAAUCCACUUUGGAAUUCGUUUAUCUAUAUGGCAUUUCAAUUGUAAAAUCUUUCCUAUGUUCCUUACAUGUGUGUCACAAUAGGAGUGCUUGUUUUCCUUUCCUCACAUGAAUUGCUAAGGCAGAGGAGGCAAAAAACUAGUGCUGGAGUAUAACUGGAUUCAGCAGAGAGAUUGCACGUGACAGUCAUAGUGGCUCAUGUAAAAUUAAAAUGACUUAUACGAACUGAUUGCAUCAUAUGCUUUUACUAGCUUGAUUUUGUUCAUCAACAUUCGACAAAAUGCUUCUUAAUUCAGAAACUUUAAUUUUGUAAUAGCUGUUUUAUAGGUUUUUUUUGGUUCAUCAGUAAAAAUCUCUUUAAUAAAACAUUUCUGUCUUGUCUAUCAUACUCUGUGACAGUUUGAAUUAACUGGAUUUGGAUAUGCAUUCUUACAUUUUCCUUCCAGGGUCACAAGGAAUGGGUGACUGAAGUAAAUGUUUUAGGAGUUGUUGAACAUCCAAAUCUUGUCAAAUUAUUGGGCUACUGCGCUGAGGACGAUGAAAGAGGAAUCCAGCGCCUGUUGGUAUAUGAAUAUAUGCCCAACAAAAGCGUGCAAGAUCACUUGUCAAGUCGGUUUCAAACACCUCUUCCUUGGGCUGCUAGAGUUAAAAUUGCCCAGGAUGCUGCCCGAGGCUUAGCAUACCUUCAUGAAGGAAUGGAUUUUCAGGUCACUGUAAGAAAGCAAGGAUGAUAGCUUGGCAUAACACCUACAAAAAUUGAAUCAACUAGAUAGAUUAUUUUCAGAGAUUUCAAGUCUUUCAACAUACUGCUGGAUGACCAAUGGAAUGCUAAGCUGUCAGACUUUGGGUUGGCCAGAUUGGGGCCGUCAGAUGGAUUGAGUCACGUUUCAACUGCGGUAUGUCUAUCGUUACGCAAAUCCUUAAUCAUACGUCACAUGCUUUUCCAGAUGAACCGUCAAUCCAUUAACAGCUCUAUUGUAUUUGUAAGUAAUGUUUCUCAAAAUUUAAGAAAGAAUUCAUGAGAUUAUUUUUUUUGAAUUCAUGAGAUUUUUUUUUUUUUUCAUGUUUUGAUGGUAAAAAAUUAUGAUCAUUCAAUGACAUGUCAAGAAGCCAGAUACUGCAUUUGACUUCUAUCAAUAAUGAUAAGGGAGAGAACAUUUGAUUCUGGACAUGGAUUUACUCUUCAUGUUGUUGUUUGUUACAGGCUGUUGUCCUCAGUGGCGCCAAACCUGAAGGCUGAAGCAGUAAAGUAGAAUUAGUUUAUUGAUUUCUUGAACAGAGAAAAACAUUGAUGAAGUAGCGCUUGGAAACACAAUUUUCUUUGGACAUAUAUAGUGUGUAGAGUAUUUUUCUUGGUUGGUUAGUGCAAAUGGAUGAUGGUUGGGCACAUGUGCAAUAUUUUUCAAAAAAUAAAAUGUCUCCUUAAAAAUAAAAAAUAAUGGUUUCACUUUCAUCAAUUUUAUAAUUUUGCAUGGCGUUUACACAUU